CUUCGUAAAGUAUCUGAGACAAACAAGAAAGGAAUAUAAUGUCUCACCUCACCCCAUUGCUACUCCAGAGAAGAAAAAAGGUUUCCCUGCAGUAGAGGAGAACAAAGAUGGGGAGAAAAGAAUGGCUGCAUCUGGCAUCCAGGCCGAAGAGUCCAUGCAGGGA
rnacentral:lncRNA from 1 species